rnacentral:rRNA from 1 species
GACGAACGCUGGCGGCGUGCUUAACACAUGCAAGUCGAACGGAAAGGCCCUGCUUUUGUUGGUUUCUCGAUUGGCGAACGGGUGUGUAACACGUGUGUAACCUGCCCUUGACUUUGGGAUAACUUCUGGAAACUGGGGCUAAUACCGGAUAGGAGCUCCUGCUGCAUGGUGGUGGUUGGAAAGUUUCGGCGGUUGGGGAUGGACUCGCGGCUUAUCAGCUUGUUUGUGGGGUAGUGGCUUACCAAGGCUUUGACGGGUAGCCGGCCUGAGAGGGUGACCGGCGACAAUGGGACUGAGAUACGGCCCAGAGGGCAACGGGAGGCAGCAGUGGGGAAUAUUGCACAAUGGGAGGAAGCGUGAUGCAGAAACGCCGCGAGCGGGAUGAAGGCCUUCGGGUUGAAAACAGAUUUAGAAUGAGACGAAGAGAGAGUGACGGUAAUGGGUAAAGAAGCACCGGCUAACUACGUG